rnacentral:rRNA from 1 species
UUCCAGCUCGAGUAACGUAUACUAAAGUUGUUGCAGUUAAAAAGCUCGUAGUUGGAUUUCUGGGAACAAAUCUAUGUCGAAUCAAUAUGAUUUUGUAUGUGGAUGUGUUUUCAUUCAAGGGAGAAUAUUUUCUGGCAUUCAGUUGUCGGGAAAUAGGAUCUCUUCUUUUACUGUGAGCAAAUCAGAGUGUUCAAAGCAGGCUUUAUGCCGUUGAAUAUAUUAGCAUGGGAAUAAUAAGAUAUGACCUCGGUUUAUUUUGUUGGUUUACAUUCCAAGGUAAUGAUUAAUAGGGAUAGUUGGGGUAUUCGUAUUUUAUUGUCAGAGGUGAAAUUUCUUGGAUUUAUAAAAGACGAACAACUGCGAAAGCAUUUUACCAAGGAUGUUUUUCAUUAAUCAAGAACGAAAGUAAGGGGAUCGAAGAUGAUUAGAUACCAUCGUAGUCUUUACCAUAAACGUUGCCGACUAGGGAUCAGUGGAUGGAUGUAAUGCCUCCAUUGGCACCUUACGAGAAAUC